rnacentral:rRNA from 1 species
AGAGUUUGAUCAUGGCUCAGAACUAACGCUGGCGGCGUGCCUAACACAUGCAAGUCGUACGAGAAAGUUGGCUUCGGCUGAUGAGUAAAGUGGCGCACGGGUGAGUAACGCGUGGAUAAUCUGCCUUUUAGUUGGGAAUAACGUACCGAAAGGUGCGCUAAUACCGGAUAAUACUGCAUAACUACUGUUGUGUAGUCAAAGAAGGCCUCUGUUUACAAGCUUUUGCUGAAAGAUGAGUCCGCGUACCAUUAGCUAGUUGGUAGGGUAAUGGCCUACCAAGGCUACGAUGGUUAGCUGGUCUGAGAGGAUGAUCAGCCACACUGGAACUGAGACACGGUCCAGACUCCUACGGGAGGCAGCAGUGAGGAAUAUUGCGCAAUGGGGGCAACCCUGACGCAGCAACGCCGCGUGAGUGAGGAAGGUUUUCGGACCGUAAAGCUCUGUCGAGUGGGAAGAAAUGUAUCAUGGCUAAUAUCCAAGGUAUUUGACGGUACCGCUAAAGGAAGCACCGGCUAACUCCGUGCCAGCAGCCGCGGUAAUACGGGGGGUGCAAGCGUUGUUCGGAAUUAUUGGGCGUAAAGAGCGUGUAGGCGGCUGAAUAAGUCAGAUGUGAAAUCCCUGAGCUUAACUCAGGAAGUGCAUUUGAAACUAUUCGGCUUGAGUAGGGGAGAGGAAAGUGGAAUUCCUGGUGUAGAGGUGAAAUUCGUAGAUAUCAGGAGGAACACCGGUGGCGAAGGCGACUUUCUGGCC